rnacentral:rRNA from 1 species
GAUGAACGCUGGCGGCGUGCCUAAUACAUGCAAGUCGUACGGAAAGGCCCUUCGGGGUACUCGAGUGGCGGACGGCUGAGUAACGCGUGGGAACGUGCCCCAAAGUGAGGGAUAACGCACCGAAAGGUGUGCUAAUACCGCAUAUGGUCUUCGGACUAAAGCUUCGGCGCUUUGGGAGCGGCCCGCGUACGAUUAGAUAGUUGGUGAGGUAAUGGCUCACCAAGUCGACGAUCGUUAGCUGGUCUGAGAGGAUGAUCAGCCAGACUGGGACUGAGACACGGCCCAGACUCCUACGGGAGGCAGCAGUAAGGAAUCUUCCACAAUGGGGGCAACCCUGAUGGAGCAACGCCGCGUGCAGGAUGAAGGUCUUCGGAUCGUAAACUGCUUUUAUAAGUGAAGAAUAUGACGGUAACUUAUGAAUAAGGAUCGGCUAAUUACGUGCCAGCAGCCGCCGUAA